rnacentral:rRNA from 1 species
UACGUAGGGUCCGAGCGUUGUCCGGAAUUACUGGGCGUAAAGAGCUCGUAGGUGGUUUGUCGCGUUGUUCGUGAAAACUCACAGCUCAACUGUGGGCGUGCGGGCGAUACGGGCAGACUGGAGUACUGCAGGGGAGACUGGAAUUCCUGGUGUAGCGGUGGAAUGCGCAGAUAUCAGGAGGAACACCGGUGGCGAAGGCGGGGUCUCUGGGCAGUAACUGACGCUGGAGGAGCGAAAGCCGUG